UUUAUAUUACUAGUCAGAUGGAAAUCUAGUACUAGAAAUGAUAUAAAUCUUUCCUUCUGGGUAAAUUUAUUAAAGAAAUUUAAUAAAUAAUAACCAGGACGAUUACUUUGAAAAAAUUAGAGUGUUCAAAGCAGGCGAGAAGCAUGAAUAUAUUAGCAUGGAAUAAUAGAAUAGGACGUUUGGACCUAUUUUGUUGGUUUUUAGGACCAUCGUAAUGAUUAAUAGGGACGGUCGGGGGCAUCAGUAUUCAAUUGUCAGAGGUGAAAUUCUUAGAUUUAUUGAAGACUAACUACUGCGAAAGCAUUUGCCAAGGACGUUUUCAUUAAUCAAGAACGAAAGUUAGGGGAUCGAAGAUGAUCAGAUACCGUCGUAGUCUUAACCAUAAACUAUGCCAACUAGGGAUCGGGUGGAGUUUAAAUAUAGACGCACUCGGGACCUUAAGAGAAAUCAAAGUAUUUGGGUUCUGGGGGGAGUAUGGUCGCAAGGCUGAAACUUAAAGGAAUUGACGGAAGGGCACCACCAGGAGUGGAGCCUGCGGCUUAAUUUGACUCAACACGGGGAAACUCACCAGGUCCGGACACAAUAAGGAUUGACAGAUUGAGAGCUCUUUCUUGAUUUUGUGGGUGGUGGUGCAUGGCCGUUCUUAGUUGGUGGAGUGAUUUGUCUGCUUAAUUGCGAUAACGAACGAGACCUUAACCUACUAAAUAGUGGAAUUAGCUAAAAGUAGCUGAAGAGACCACUUCUUAGAGGGACAGUUGGUUU
rnacentral:rRNA from 1 species